UCAGGUCUUCUAACUCCAAGACCCUUUGGAGUAGAAGUAUUGUCGGUGUCCUCGCGAUCCCCAAACAACCACUUCCCGACCAAAACAUCAAUGUAGAGUGUCCCCACCCCAUAUUUAAUUUUCCCGAAAAUCUUCUAAACCUGUCUUUUAUUUCUUCUUCUUCUUCCUUAAACUAAGCUAAAUACUCUGCUACUUGGUUGGAAUAUUGUUAAUCUGAAUAAGACCCUUGGCAAGCUCCCGCACUCCCAAGUAUGGAAGGAGGGAAGACUAGAAUUACCUUUCUGCACAGACUGUAUACAUGGAGUAAGCAGGUUGAGACAAAUUAACUAUGUACUCGAUACUUUAUAUUCCCCCCCCCCUUUCCUCACCAACAUUGUGGAAUUAUCUCCAUAUUACAAGUGAAAAGGCUGAGGCUACACAAGAAAAAAAUCGCCCAAGGAGUCACUCUGAGAAGUUAACCCAUAGUGCAAACCAAAGGGGACAUUUUCCCAUAGAUUAAAAAAGAAAAGAAAAGCUUUAAGGGCCUAUAAGACCCCCCCCCCGAGAGUAAAAGGCACUCACUGCAAAGCCUUAAGGCCUGACUUCCAUCCCUCUGGCCCACAUAGUGGAGAGAGAGAACUGAAACUAAGUUGUUCCCUGACCUUCAAAGAUCCAGGAUGCUCCCACACACAAGCACACACGAUAAAAUGAAUGUAAUUUUUUUUUUUUUAAAGAUUUAAGAGAAAAGAAUGGAGAGAAGCUGGCAAAUUAGGUCUGAGGCUACUUCCCUGGCUACAGCAUGGUUCAUUCUGUGGAAACAGGCUGUAUCCACAGGAACAUAGCCACUUGGAUACAUGUAGCUAUUGAAUACUUUGAAAGGUAAGUAAGUGGUGCAACUCAGUAACUUAAUUAUAACCAUGUUAGACCUAACCAUGUGUAAUUGGCCACAUUAGACAGUGUGGCUUUGGCCAUGGUUGUAGGUGAGAUCAAUAGUAGACACUUGCUGCUAUCUAUACAUAGCAUCAAAGUUUCUAGUCUGAUCACUGAAGCCAAUUUCAACAAAAUUUCCAAAAAAGAAACUUCAGGUGAUCCCACAACUAUCUCAGCUAUAGUACAAGUUUAAUUGGGAAUUGAAAAGCAGAAAGCACCUCCCCACUGCAUGUACUCAAAAAUGAAAACACUCCUACUAGAAGGUAAUAUUAAUCUAUGAUGGACUAUCCUAAACAGAGGGUAAAUCACCUCAUUUCUUGGGGGGUGAGGGGGAUAUGGUCUUAUGUAACAUUGACCUGUGGACAAGGUUACCUCUCAACUCAAGAGAUGAGAUUCAUGUCACCUCUCCCUCCUGCGAGCUGGAAUUAAAACCCUGUACCACCCCUGGCCCCUCAUUUCCCACUUUAAUCCUCUUGAGAAAGACUUAACAGUUUUGUUUAUAAUAAAUGUGUAUUUCUGUGU
rnacentral:lncRNA from 1 species